rnacentral:rRNA from 1 species
UACAGAGGGUGCAAGCGUUGUUCGGAAUUAUUGGGCGUAAAGCGCGUGUAGGCGGCUUUGCAAGUCGGGUGUGAAAGCCCUCGGCUCAACCGAGGAAGUGCGCCCGAAACUGCAGAGCUUGAGUACCGGAGAGGAUGGCGGAAUUCCCCAAGUAGAGGUGAAAUUCGUAGAUAUGGGGAGGAACACCGGUGGCGAAGGCGGCCAUCUGGACCAGCACUGACACUGAGGCACGAAAGCGUGGGGAGCAAACAGG